rnacentral:rRNA from 1 species
UCGGGAAUUUUGGACAAUGGGCGCAAGCCUGAUCCAGCCAUGCCGCGUGGAUGAUGAAGGCCUUAGGGUUGUAAAAUCCUUUCGCCGAGGACGAUAAUGACGGUACUCGGAGAAGAAGCUCCGGCUAACUUCGUGCCAGCAGCCGCGGUAAUACGAAGGGGGCUAGCGUUGUUCGGAUUUACUGGGCGUAAAGCGCGUGUAGGCGGGUCGUUAAGUCAGGGGUGAAAUCCUGGGGCUCAACCCCAGAACUGCCUUUGAUACUGGCUGUCUCGAGGUCGAGAGAGGUUGGUGGAAUUCCUAGUGUAGAGGUGAAAUUCGUAGAUAUUAGGAAGAACACCAGUGGCGAAGGCGGCCAACUGGCUCGAUACUGACGCUGAGGUGCGAAAGCGUGGGGAGCAAACAGGAUUAGAUACCCAAGUAGUCCCUGAGCGGGCUGGCAAGGCGCAU